GAUGAACGCUGGCGGCGUGCCUAAUACAUGCAAGUCGAGCGAACGGACGAGAAGCUUGCUUUUCUGAUGUUAGCGGCGGACGGGUGAGUAACACGUGGAUAACCUACCUAUAAGACUGGGAUAACUUCGGGAAACCGGAGCUAAUACCGGAUAAUAUUUUGAACCGCAUGGUUCAAAAGUGAAAGACGGUCUUGCUGUCACUUAUAGAUGGAUCCGCGCUGCAUUAGCUAGUUGGUAAGGUAACGGCUUACCAAGGCAACGAUGCAUAGCCGACCUGAGAGGGUGAUCGGCCACCUUGGAACUGAGCCACGGUCCAGACUCCUACGGGAGGCAGCAGUAGGGAAUCUUCCGCAAUGGGCGAAAGCCUGACGGAGCAACGCCGCGUGAGUGAUGAAGGUCUUCGGAUCGUAAAACUCUGUUAUUAGGGAAGAACAUAUGUGUAAGUAACUGUGCACAUCUUGACGGUACCUAAUCAGAAAGCCACGGCUAACUACGUG
rnacentral:rRNA from 1 species